UACGUAGGGUGCAAGCGUUGUCCGGAAUUAUUGGGCGUAAAGAGCUCGUAGGCGGUCUGUCGCGUCUGCUGUGAAAACUCAGGGCUUAACCCUGAGCUUGCAGUGGGUACGGGCAGACUAGAGUGCGGUAGGGGAGACUGGAAUUCCUGGUGUAGCGGUGAAAUGCGCAGAUAUCAGGAGGGAACACCGGUGGCGAAGGCGGGUCUCUGGGCCGUAAACUGACGCUGGAGGGAGCGGAAAGCAUGGGGAGCGAACAGG
rnacentral:rRNA from 1 species